GACAGAGGGUGCAAACGUUGCUCGGAAUUACUGGGCGUAAAGCGCGUGUAGGUGGAUUGGUGUGUCAGAUGUGAAAUCCCUGGGCUCAACCCAGGAACUGCACCUGAAACUACCAGUCUUGAGUGGUGGAGAGGGAAGUGGAAUUCCUGGUGUAGAGGUGAAAUUCGUAGAUAUCAGGAGGAACACCAGUGGCGAAGGCGGCUUCCUGGGACACCAACUGACGCUGAGACGCGAAAGCGUGGGGAGCAAACAGG
rnacentral:rRNA from 1 species